rnacentral:rRNA from 1 species
AGUGAACGCUGGCGGUAGGCCUAACACAUGCAAGUCGAACGGCAGCACAGGAGAGCUUGCUCUCUGGGUGGCGAGUGGCGGACGGGUGAGGAAUACAUCGGAAUCUACUUUUUCGUGGGGGAUAACGUAGGGAAACUUACGCUAAUACCGCAUACGACCUACGGGUGAAAGCAGGGGACCUUCGGGCCUUGCGCGAUUGAAUGAGCCGCUGUCGGAUUAGCUAGUUGGCGGGGUAAAGGCCCACGAAGGCGACGAUCCGUAGCUGGUCUGAGAGGAUGAUCAGCCACACUGGAACUGAGACACGGUCCAGACUCCUACGGGAGGCAGCAGUGGGGAAUAUUGGACAAUGGGCGCAAGCCUGAUCCAGCCAUACCGCGUGGGUGAAGAAGGCCUUCGGGUUGUAAAGCCCUUUUGUUGGGAAAGAAAUCCAGCUGGCUAAUACCCGGUUGGGAUGACGGUACCCAAAGAAUAAGCACCGGCUAACUUCGUGCCAGCCGCCGCAGUAA